GACGAACGCUGGCGGCGUGCCUAAUACAUGCAAGUCGAACGAGAGCAACCGGUGCUUGCCCUGGUCAAUCUAGUGGCGAACGGGUGAGUAACACGUGGGUAACCUGCCCAUCAGAGGGGGAUAACAUCCGGAAACGGAUGCUAAAACCGCAUAGGUCUUCGAACCGCAUGGUUUGAAGAGGAAAAGAGGCGCAAGCUUCUGCUGAUGGAUGGACCCGCGGUGCAUUAGCUAGUUGGUGAGGUAACGGCUCACCAAGGCCGUGAUGCAUAGCCGACCUGAGAGGGUGAUCGGCCACAUUGGGACUGAGACACGGCCCAAACUCCUACGGGAGGCAGCAGUAGGGAAUCUUCCGCAACGGACGCAAGUCUGACGGAGCAACGCCGCGUGAGUGAAGAAGGUUUUCGGAUCGUAAAACUCUGUUGUUAGAGAAGAACAAGUGCUAGAGUAACUGUUAGCGCCUUGACGGUAUCUAACCAGAAAGCCACGGCUAACUACGUG
rnacentral:rRNA from 1 species